rnacentral:tRNA from 1 species
GGUUUUGGCUCAGUGGUAGAGCCCUUGCCUUGCACAUGCAAGACCCUGGGUUCAAUCCUCAGACCA